rnacentral:rRNA from 1 species
CCUACGGGUGGCAGCAGUGAGGAAUAUUGGUCAAUGGACGCAAGUCUGAACCAGCCAUGCCGCGUGCAGGAAGACGGCUCUAUGAGUUGUAAACUGCUUUUGUACGAGGGUAAACGCAGAUACGCGUAUCUGUCUGAAAGUAUCGUACGAAUAAGGAUCGGCUAACUCCGUGCCAGCCGACGCGGUAAUAAGGAGGAUUCAAGCGUUAUCCGGAUUUAUUGGGUUUAAAGGGUGCGUAGGCGGUCGGAUAAGUUAGAGGUGAAAUCCCGAGGCUCAACUUCGGAAUUGCCUCUGAUACUGUGCGGCUAGAGAGUAGGUGCGGUAGGCGGAAUGUAUGGUGUAGCGGUGAAAUGCUUAGAGAUCAUACAGAACACCGAUUGCGAAGGCAGCUUACCAAGCUACUUCUGACGUUGAGGCACGAAAGCGUGGGGAGCAAACAGGAUUAGAUACCCGGGUAGUC